rnacentral:rRNA from 1 species
UACGGGCGGCUGCAGUGGGGAAUCUUGCGCAAUGGACGAAAGUCUGACGCAGCGACGCCGCGUGGGUGACGAAGGCCUUCGGGUUGUAAAGCCCUGUGGGCGGGAACGAACCGGUCGGGAGUGAAUAUCUCCCGGCCUUGACGGUACCCGUUUAGCAAGCAUCGGCUAACUCUGUGCCAGCAGCCGCGGUAAGACAGAGGAUGCGAACGUUGCUCGGAAUUACUGGGCGUAAAGCGCGCACAGGCGGUGCGAAAGCCCGGGGCUCAACCUCGGAAGUGCACCGGAUACUGCGGAACUGGGGUCUUGAAGAGGAGAGCGGAAUUCCCGGUGUAGAGGUGAAAUUCGUAGAUAUCGGGAGGAACACCAGUGGCGAAAGCGGCUCUCUGGGCAAUGACCGACGCUGAGGCGCGAAGGCGUGGGAAGCAAACAGGAUUAGAUACCCGAGUAGUC